UACAGAGGUGGCAAGCGUUGUUCGGAAUUACUGGGCGUAAAGGGCGCGUAGGCGGCCAUCUAAGUCAGACGUGAAAUCCCCCGGCUUAACCUGGGAACUGCGUCUGAUACUGGAAGGCUUGAGUAUGGGAGAGGGAUGUAGAAUUCCAGGUGUAGCGGUGAAAUGCGUAGAUAUCUGGAGGAACACCUGCGGUGUAGACAGCUUACUGGACCACUUCUGACGCUGAGACACGAAAGCGUGGGUAGCAAACAGG
rnacentral:rRNA from 1 species